rnacentral:rRNA from 1 species
GACGAACGCUGGCGGCGUGCUUAACACAUGCAAGUCGAACGGAAAGGCCCUGCUUUUGUGGGGUGCUCGAGUGGCGAACGGGUGAGUAACACGUGAGUAACCUGCCCCUGACUUUGGGAUAACUUCAGGGAACUGGGGCUAAUACCGGAUAGGAGCUCCUGCUGCAUGGUGGGGGUUGGAAAGAUUCGGCGGUUGGGGAUGGACUCGCGGUCUAUCAGCUUGUUGGUGGGGUAGUGGCUUACCAAGGCUUUGACGGGUAGCCGGCCUGAGAGGGUGACCGGCCACAUUGGGACUGAGAUACGGCCCAGACUGCUACGGGAGGCAGCAGUGGGGAAUAGUGCACAAUGGGCGGAAGCCUGAUGCAGCAACGCCGCGUGCGGGAUGACGGCCUUCGGGUUGUAAACCGCUUUCGCCUGUGACGAAGCGUGAGUGACGGUAAUGGGUAAAGAAGCAACGGCUAACUACGUG